AAGUCGUAACAAGGUUUCCGUAGGUGAACCUGCGGAAGGAUCAUUACAAAUCUUUUAUGAAAAAAGGAUAAGAAAAAGUAGAAAAGAAGGGUAUAAAAGAAGAGAGAGAAGAAAAAAUAGGAAAGGGUGAUAAAUAGUAAUUUUAUCCCAAACUUAUUUUUAUUUGAUCUCUUUUUUACUUAAUUUCUCUUUAAUUAUCCACAUAUGUGCUUCAGGAAUUCAUUUCCUGAUAGACAUUACGCUUGUUAGGGUUUGACUGAGUUUUAUUUUUUGAUGAUAAUAAAUGACAACUUUUAACAAUGGAUCUCUUGGCUCUU
rnacentral:misc_RNA from 1 species